GUGCAGCGCUUUGCCUGUCCCCUUUAAUUUAGGUCAUGUUCCAAUGAAAUUUCCACAGCGUCACGCAGCUGAGAAUAAUUACCUCCUCAGCACACAUGACAAGGAAAUCUUGGUUUGUCAUCAGAGUGUUGAACACUCAUGCAUAAAAGUUUAAGUAACCUUCAAAUUAAGUUUUUUAUUUUAUUACAGCACAGCUGAGAUUGCUAUGCUAUGGCAGAGGGAAUAUUAAGUGAAUUGAAGAGUGCUUUGGCAUUUUUUUAAGAUGAUAGAUAAGGUAUUUUGGUAAUUUGUUCAGUAAAACGAAUGAAAUGAAAUAUGAAGCUGGAUUAACGUGGUAACUCAUUACCUCAGCGAGAAAUCCAAACAAUACACUCACCAAAGCCAGCUGACAGAUGUGGAGAAAACAGAAGGACUUUGGGUGGAGAAGGGUGUGAGGAGAGGGAACUUCAGAGACCGCGGAGAAGGACCCGUUUGCCUGAAGCCCAGAAUCAGAUCAUCUCCCCGCACUGAUUUUACCGCUCCGUGAUGGUGCUUGACUUGGGUAUUCCGUUGACUGGACUGCGCCCAGUUGAAGGCGGUGACUCUGGUUCUGCCGCAUUGGUCCCGGAGACUCAGUGGGCUCCACCUUGACGGUACCUGACCCGAUAUGUCUUCCAAGGGAAGCUGAGGAUGUCCAAGUCUGUAAAAGCAAGAAAGGCCAAACUGGGAAAAAGUCACCAUAAGCAGCUCUGCCCAUUGUAGGAACUGACAUAACAUCAUGAAUCAAAAGCAAUUGAAUACAAAUAAAA